rnacentral:rRNA from 1 species
CCUACGGGGGGCAGCAGUGAGGAAUAUUGGUCAAUGGCCGUAAGGCUGAACCAGCCAAGUAGCGUGAGGGAAGACUGCCCUAUGGGUUGUAAACCUCUUUUAUGCGGGGAUAAAGGUGGCCACGUGUGGCUGUUUGCAGGUACCGCAUGAAUAAGGAUCGGCUAAUUCCGUGCCAGCAGCCGCGGUAAUACGGAAGGUCCGGGCGUUAUCCGGAUUUAUUGGGUUUAAAGGGAGCGUAGGCGGGUCUUUAAGCCUGCCGUGAAAUUUUGUGGCUCAACCAUGAGAGUGCGGGGCGAACUGGAGACCUUGAGUGCGCGGAAGGCAGGCGGAAUUCGUGGUGUAGCGGUGAAAUGCUUAGAUAUCACGAAGAACCCCGAUUGCGAAGGCAGCCUGCCGAAGCGUUACUGACGCUGAAGCUCGAAAGCGCGGGUAUCGAACAGGAUUAGAUACCCUUGUAGUC